CAUCCUGAAAUUACUUUAGAUACUUUUAUUGUAGGCCUUCUGUGUCAUUUUCCUAUUGGGCACCCGUUUUAGACGAUCCUGUGUUGUAAUGUUGAUUAUCCCAGUCACACGUUGGUGGGUGGAGUUGAACAACAAGGUGGGCUGUUUGCACUUAGCAUAAAUAGACACUCCGUUAUUUUUUUUCAGUGUUGUUUAUUUCAUUCAUUUGCAUACAGCAUGAAAUGUUGUGAUAUUUUCUACUCCGAGUCUUAAUAUCAUUUGAAAGAAAGCAGUUAUAUGUCAUUGCAAGAGUGGGGAAUAUUUUCAUUUAAAGCUACUACUUAACACCAUUCUCAGUUUGAUAAGACGAUGAGAAUGAAGGCAGCAUUUUCAGAAUAAACAGCAAUUGCACAAGAAUCCCAGAUGGUGAGUGUACAGUAAAAAACGCAUUCAGCUUCCUAAACAAAUUAACACAGCCUUCGAGUAUCAGACACUUUAGAAGUAGAGCUAAAGAAAUAAAUUACAUGCAAACAUCCAAAUAAAUAUGACUUUGUACAGGAAUGUUUCUUUGUUUAUAAAAAUUGUCACAGAAAAAAAUCCAACAAUAAUCCAUUACUUAAUUGAAUUAAAAAAAUAUCUUCAUUACCAAUGUCUCUGCAUUCAGACUUACUGAUUAGCAUGAACAUAUUCAAAAAUAAUGAAAAAUGUUUUGGUUUAGGAUUUAAUUGAGUUUGAUUUCAUCUCUCUUCACAAAACCGAGGCCUUAAGAUAAGUUCCUAUUCUACCCAGUUUAUGUAAACAAAAAGAUACUGCAAACAGUCAGAUGCUAUGUGUUACAGUAGUUAGGCUGCCAGGUAUGAAGUAUUAUUGUGCCCUAGAAAAAAAAAAACAUUUUAAAUUCAAUGCUAAACAAAGAAAAUACUAAAAUUAGUCCCGCCUGCCGAAAUACUGAAUUUGGUCUUUAAUUUGUGGUAUCUUUUUACCCUGUGUUUGCUUUUGUUUCUCUCUCUCUCUCUCUCUCGACAAACUAUAGUAAGACUAAAAUAAAACGUAAGGAAAACUAUUUUCCAUAAAAAAAAUUAACCUAACAAUUGAGGAGACCAUGCAAUUGUGCGCAGUUAACUCACAGUCAUCAUGCAUGGUAAAAGGCUUCCUGUUCAAGACAAGGCAAAAUAACUCUUGUGAUUAAGGCACAUUUAAAUAUCCAAUACAAUAUCACAGUACUGCAAUCGAAUCGAUUCAUAAAACCAAGUCGAAUACAUUUGAUAGAUUUGAAAAGUGUCUUCUCAUGUGAUUGUUCAGGCAACCGUGGCUCGACUCAUCCUACGUUUUUUUUUUUUUGUAUAAUCUUGCCAUAUUCCUAAAAUGUCUUUAAAAUAGUCAAUAAAAACUCACAAUCAACCAGAUUAUCCUUUUGUCCCUUAGCAAAGUAAAUAACAUGACUCCUGUAGAUUCGUCUCCUAGGCAAACUAAGAGAAGAAAGAUGCAUGGUCAAAUGAAGUCCACUAGAAAACUCUCACAGAGGUACUCAAAAGACCUGUUUGCUCUCCAAGAGCAGGUCACAUGAAGUUCAUCACUCUACUUCUGCUGUUAACAUCAUCAGG
rnacentral:lncRNA from 1 species